rnacentral:rRNA from 1 species
GACGAACGCUGGCGGCGUGCUUAACACAUGCGAGUCGAACGGAAAGGCCCUGCUUUUGUGGGGUGCUCGAGUGGCGAACGGGUGAGUAACACGUGAGUAACCUGCCCUUGACUUUGGGAUAACUUCAGGAAACUGGGGCUAAUACCGGAUAGGAGCUCCUGCUGCAUGGUGGGGGUUGGAAAGUUUCGGCGGUUGGGGAUGGACUCGCGGCUUAUCAGCUUGUUGGUGGUGUAGUGGCUUACCAAGGCUUUGACGGGUAGCCGGCCUGAGAGGGUGACCGGCCACAUUGGGACUGAGAUACGGCCCAGACUCCUACGGGAGGCAGCAGUGGGGAAUAUUGCACAAUGGGCGGAAGCCUGAUGCAGCAACGCCGCGUGCGGGAUGACGGCCUUCGGGUUGUAAACCGCUUUCGCCUGUGACGAAGCGUGAGUGACGGUAAUGGGUAAAGAAGCACCGGCUAACUACGUG